UACGAAGGGGGCUAGCGUUGCUCGGAAUCACUGGGCGUAAAGGGUGCGUAGGCGGGUCUUUUAAGUCAGGGGUGAAAUCCUGGAGCUCAACUCCAGAACUGCCUUUGAUACUGAAGAUCUUGAGUUCGGGAGAGGUGAGUGGAACUGCGAGUGUAGAGGUGAAAUUCGUAGAUAUUCGCAAGAACACCAGUGGCGAAGGCGGCUCACUGGCCCGAUACCUGACGCUGAGGCACGAAAGCGUGGGGAGCAAACAGGG
rnacentral:rRNA from 1 species